rnacentral:rRNA from 1 species
CCUACGGGGGGCAGCAGUGAGGAAUAUUGGUCAAUGGGCGCGAGCCUGAACCAGCCAAGUAGCGUGAAGGAUGACUGCCCUACGUGUUGUAAACUUCUUUUGUCAAGGAAUAAAGUGAGGCACGUGUGCCUUUUUGUAUGUACUUUAUGAAUAAGGAUCGGCUAACUCCGUGCCAGCAGCCGCGGUAAUACGGAGGAUCCGAGCGUUAUCCGGAUUUAUUGGGUUUAAAGGGAGCGUAGAUGGGUUGUUAAGUCAGUUGUGAAAGUUUGCGGCUCAACCGUGAAAUUGCAAUUGAUACUGGCAGCCUUGAGUACAGGUGAGGUAGGCGGAAUGCGUGGUGUAGCGGUGAAAUGCUUAGAUAUCACGAAGAACUCCGAUUGCGAAGGCAGCUUACUAAACUGCCACUGACAUUGAGGCACGAAAGUGUGGGUAUCAAACAGGAUUAGAUACCCUGGUAGUC